ensembl:misc_RNA
UUCUUUGUUAAUUGUCAGCUGUUUUUAUAAAUUCCAGGCUGUAUCCAGCAAACACUAUAAAAAUGUUUGAGCAGUUGGAUUUCAAACAUAUUCAUUUUGUGGAGUGCUUACCAAGUGGUACAACUCUAAGCAAGUGACACA